UCCGAUUUUAAUAUCGGCAGUCUCUUUAGAGUGCCCAACUUAAUGCUGGCAACUAAAGACAGGGGUUGCGCUCGUUAUGGGACUUAACCCGACAUCUCACGACACGAGCUGACGACAGCCAUGCAGCACCUGAUGAUAGUGUCCCGAAGGCCGACUCUAUCUCUAGAGUAUUCACUACCACUUCAAACCCAGGUAAGGUUUUUCGCGUUGCAUCGAAUUGAACCACAUGCUCCACCGUUUGUGCGGGCCCCCGUCAAUUUCUUUGAGUUUUAAUCUUGCGACCGUACUUCCCAGGCGGGAUACUUAACGCGUUAGCUUCGGCACUGAAGGGGUCAAUACCUCCAACACCAAGUAUCCAUCGUUUACGGUGCGGACUAC
rnacentral:misc_RNA from 1 species